CAAAGCACACAUGCUGGUGUAAUGAUUGCAGUGCUGAGGAAUGCUUGGGAAGAUGUUGAAUUCUCCUCUCUUCCCCUCUGCUAGUCAUAAGAACCAAACCCUGGGUGCAGUGGAUGAAGAAAUGGACCUGUCUCCCCGAAGUCUGCUGAGUCUGUGUGAACAAGCAAAGAGGUGCUGACAACAACCUAGGUCUCUGGCUACUGUUUCCUGGCCACAUGUCUCAGUUUCCAGCAUCAUGUCAUUAAACUCCUGCCAAAUCAGAGAAAGACUGAGGUACAGCUGGGAAGGCUCUGGAAGGUGUGUGUGCUCCCUGAAGUCCAUCCCCUUGCCAAAAGACAGCAGAUCUCUGGCCUGAGAAAAGGAAAUGAAGAUGAGCAGUCAUUCCAGCAGUCAUUCCAGCUUGCUUACUGCAGAGAAAAUUUGGGGAAACACUGUGCAUAAACUGCUGGGGGUAUGACACUUACCAGCAGACUGAGCUGAUGGGGUAUAUGUCACAGAAAAAAAUAGCAACCUGAAUAAUUGUGCUCAGCUAAUAGGUGAUACCUGCUGCAGGUUAUAAUAACAGCACUGUGAGACCUGAGAACACCUAAAGGAGGAAAAAGUCCAGUGGGCUGAUCUCCAACACAGUGUCCAGAAAACUUCCUGUCUUGUGGGAGCUCUCUGCCGCAACUGCUCCUGGAAUAUUCAGCUACGGACUGGUAUGUGAAGUCAAAGAAGGAAACUGACUGCAUAAAGUUUGAGAAGAUUAAAAUGGAUGAGAAAACAGGAAAAUUGAGUGAAAACUGAAGUAUUUCAAAUUUCAUAGCUGAAAAAAAGGAGUGGUUAUAAGGUAAUUGAAUCACAGUCUAAAUAUCUGCACAGACAAGUGCAAACCAGCAGAGAUCUUGUAAAUGAAAGGUUUAUUGGUGCUGGAAGCUGUAUCUAGACAAGUUCAUCUA